rnacentral:rRNA from 1 species
GAGUACGUGAAACCGUCUAGAGGUAAGCGGGUGGACCCGUCCAGUCGGCCCUCGGAAUUCAGCUUUCGGGACCGUCCGCUGGCGCUGCAAUGUGAUCCCUGGGACGCGUGCGGUGUCAGACCGGGCUCCUGAGAGUGCACUUUCCGUGUUGGCAGAGCGUCACGACCGGCUCGGCGGCGGUGAUAAGGCCUGGGGGAAGGUAGGUCGUGCGUCUUCGGGCGCGCGACUGUUAUAGACCCUGGGAGAUGGCCGCUGCCGGGCCGUGGAUCGACCCGUCGUAUGGCAGUGGGGUUUCCCGCGUUCGUUCGACUCGGAAGGACUGGCUUGCCGUGCUUCCGGACUGCGAUGCGUGGGCGGACUCUGCGAUAGCCUGCGAUGUGUUAGGGUCAGUGACACACGAUCGGUAAUCCACCCGGCCCGUCUUGAAACACGGACCAAGAAGUCCAACAUGUGCGCGAGUCAUUGGGUCCUACGAAACCUAAAGGCGUAAUGAAGGUGAAGGCAGGUUCGGCCUGCUGAGGUGAGAUCCCGGCCCUCGGGCUGGGCGCAUCACCGGCCCGUCUGCAAAGGCGGAGCAAGAGCGCACACGUUGGGACCCGAAAGAUGGUGAACUAUGCCUGAGCAGGAUGAAGCCAGAGGAAACUCUGGUGGAAGUCCGUAGCGAUUCUGACGUGCAAAUCGAUCGUCGAACUUGGGUAUAGGGGCGAAAGACUAAUCGAACCAUCUAGUAGCUGGUUCCCUCCGAAGUUUCCCUCAGGAUAGCUGGCGCUCGUAACAGUUUUAUCCGGUAAAGCGAAUGAUUAGAGGCCUUGGGGACGAAACGUCCUCAACCUAUUCUCAAACUUUAAAUGGGUAAGGAGUCGGACUCGCUUAAUUGGAGUCCGGACUGGAAUGUGAGUGCCAAGUGGGCCACUUUUGGUAAGCAGAACUGGCGCUGUGGGAUGAACCAAACGUCCGGUUAAGGUGCCUAACACUGACGCUCAUGAGAUACCAUAAAAGGUGUUGGUUGAUAUAGACAGCAGGACGGUGGCCAUGGAAGUCGGAAUCCGCUAAGGAG